CUGACGAGUGGCGGACGGGUGAGUAAUGUCUGGGAAACUGCCUGAUGGAGGGGGAUAACUACUGGAAACGGUAGCUAAUACCGCAUAACGUCGCAAGACCAAAGAGGGGGACCUUCGGGCCUCUUGCCAUCGGAUGUGCCCAGAUGGGAUUAGCUUGUUGGUGGGGUAACGGCUCACCAAGGCGACGAUCCCUAGCUGGUCUGAGAGGAUGACCAGCCACACUGGAACUGAGACACGGUCCAGACUCCUACGGGAGGCAGCAGUGGGGAAUAUUGCACAAUGGGCGCAAGCCUGAUGCAGCCAUGCCGCGUGUAUGAAGAAGGCCUUCGGGUUGUAAAGUACUUUCAGCGGGGAGGAAGGGAGUAAAGUUAAUACCUUUGCUCAUUGACGUUACCCGCAGAAGAAGCACCGGCUAACUCCGUGCCAGCAGCCGCGGUAAUACGGAGGGUGCAAGCGUUAAUCGGAAUUACUGGGCGUAAAGCGCACGCAGGCGGUUUGUUAAGUCAGAUGUGAAAUCCCCGGGCUCAACCUGGGAACUGCAUCUGAUACUGGCAAGCUUGAGUCUCGUAGAGGGGGGUAGAAUUCCAGGUGUAGCGGUGAAAUGCGUAGAGAUCUGGAGGAAUACCGGUGGCGAAGGCGGCCCCCUGGACGAAGACUGACGCUCAGGUGCGAAAGCGUGGGGAGCAAACAGGAUUAGAUACCCUGGUAGUCCACGCCGUAAACGAUGUCGACUUGGAGGUUGUGCCCUUGAGGCGUGGCUUCCGGAGCUAACGCGUUAAGUCGACCGCCUGGGGAGUACGGCCGCAAGGUUAAAACUCAAAUGAAUUGACGGGGGCCCGCACAAGCGGUGGAGCAUGUGGUUUAAUUCGAUGCAACGCGAAGAACCUUACCUGGUCUUGACAUCCACAGAACUUUCCAGAGAUGAAUUGGUGCCUUCGGGAACUGUGAGACAGGUGCUGCAUGGCUGUCGUCAGCUCGUGUUGUGAAAUGUUGGGUUAAGUCCCGCAACGAGCGCAACCCUUAUCCUUUGUUGCCAGCGGUCCGGCCGGGAACUCAAAGGAGACUGCCAGUGAUAAACUGGAGGAAAGGUGGGGAUGACGUCAAGUCA
rnacentral:rRNA from 1 species